UGAAGAGGUUGAUUUUAUGUAGUGAAACAUUCACAUUCCUUUCUCACUUCCAUUUACAUAUAACACUAUAAUUCAAAUUUAGAUAAGCUUUACCUUAACAUAAAAAACUGUUCCUUUACAACUCCACCCCAACUCUUUUAGUUGUUGAUGUUUCAAAAUUAUAUCUUUACACAUUGUGUGCCUCAAAUUCUUCUUAAAAUAUAACUAAUUUACAUGCAUAAAGGGUUAUUCAGAGUGUUUCUUUAUUCCCCCUUCUUGAACCUAUCUGGAUUUUAAAAGUUGCAUAAUUUACAUAAUGUAUACCAUGAUCAAAAAAUAUUCUGUGAUUGCUUUUCCAAAUUAAUAUAUAAGGUUACUUUUAACAUAAAUUUAUAUACAUACUUACCUUAUUCUAUUUGCUAGCUCCAUAUUAUGGUAUUUCAAAGAAUGGAUAUAUCAAAAUUUGUUUACCUAAUUAUUCUCCAACUGCUGGUUUUUAUUUUCUAGAAAACUCUAGAAAAAAAACUUUUAAUUGAGACUCUUAAGUUUCCUAUUUCAUUUCUGUUCUUUCUCACAAAAGAAUUAGUAUAGGAACAAAGAAGAAACAAUAAAAAGGAAGGCCCCUAGAUUUUCUCCUAGAAUAUCUUGCCAACACACAGUUUACUGUGACAUGGUUAAUUCUUUAGGGAGCUUACAUUCUCUUAAGGACCAAGGCAUAUAAGCAAAUAAUUGUAAUAAUAGGUGAUAGAUACUGCGAUGAAAUUUUACUCAAAAAGCUAUUAGAUCCCAGUGGAAGAAGAGAUUUUUUUCUGCUUUGGUAGACUUGGGAAAUUUUCAGACAUAUGACAUUUGGGUUAUCCUUGAUGGAUAAAUGAAGAAGAGUCAGGCAAAUGAAUGGAGCAUUGGAAGGUAUAGUAGGAUAAGAAAAAAUGGGAGCUAAUUUUCUGAUACUUGGAAUUUGAGCCGAUAUUUUAAGGAGUUAUUAAGGCCAUUCUCUAGGCCAGUGAGGGCACUUGAAUGAGAAGCUAUUUAGGGCCACACCUGCGGCAUAUGGAAGUUCCCAGGCUAGGGGUCCAAUCAGAGCUGUAGCUGCUGGCCUCAGCCAGAGCCACAAUAACACUAGAUCCAAGCUGCGUCUGCAACCUACACCACAGCUCACGGCACUGCCAGAUCCUUAACCCACUGAGCAAGGCCAGGGAUUGAACCUGCAUCCUCAUGAAUACUAGUUGGAUUCGCUUCUACUGAGCCAUUAUGGGAACUCCCAUAAGAGUUAUUUUCAAUUUCAUCAACACAUCAGUGUCAGACACACUGAUAGGAGAAGAAGAGUUGUUUAGGCAUGAAAAAUAGCAUUUGGCAAAAUCUUUGAAAAGGAACUCAAUCUCUUUCCAGCUUUGUGAGUUUUGUUCACAAACCAUUAAGAGGUUUAUAUCUUGGGCCAUAUCAGGGAUGAAUGUAGGGAAUUCAAGGGCCUUUCCAGCUGCUAAUGGCCAACUGGAGAGACAGAAACCAGGAAAUCUUUCAUUCUGGUGAAUAAGGAAAAAAAGACAUUCUUUCUAUUGUACGUCCAAAUCUUUUCAUGAAAUCGCCUUUUGAAAAGAUGUCACAAUCCUAACAAAUGCUGUAAUAAUGUAUAAGGUAUAAUAAUUUGAAACAAAAACAAAACAAAAAAACAAAGUAUCCUAAUUUCCCCAAAGAUUAGCCUUAAACAAAUGUCUUUCACAGUGCUUCCUUUUCUUACUCCCACCUUCUAGUCCAGAGCAGCUAGUAUCUUUUUUCUUUCCUUCCAUGACCACCCAUAGGAGAAAGAUAAUCAUGAAAUAGUUUUCCCUGCAGAUGGCUGGCUGAGUAGCAGAGAGUAAUAGCAGCCCCUUUAGCAUCUUAUUUCUGUUUCCAUCAGAAGAGUUUGUCUUAGCAACCAUUCUGUUAACCAUGAAACAAAAGGGCAAUUGCAAAAAAAUCUGAUAAGUAGAGAAAAAGUAAUAUCACUUUUUAUCUCUUUCUUAAAGAGUCCUCUCCUUUGAAAAAAGACUCUGCCUUCAUGGGAUUUUUAAGCUUACUCUGUGAAUACUUUAGUUUCUCCUUCCUCCCAUCAAGUGCUAUUGGAUAGGAGUUACAUUUCCAACCUCUUUUUUGCUAAGCAAAGCAAAGAAUACAAGUCAUAGAAAUAGUACUUUAAAUGGAAAAAAAAAAAAAAAAAAGCAAAAGGGCUUGUGACUUUGGAAGUAGCAUAACUUCUGAGUUAGGGUAACUACCACAUUCCACUUUGCCCAGGACUCCCCAGAUUUAAUGCUUUAAAUUCAGUGCUCUAGAACCUUCUCAUGUUCUAGUAAACCAGGAGGGUUUAUUGCUCUACCUGAGAAGGUUUCCACACCCACUUAGGACUAGGCUAUUUAUGAGGAUUUAAAUAGCAACAAUAGCAACCACCUAAAUCUCAUUGAUUUUUGAAAACCAGCUAUUUUAAGUGCCUCAUCUGAAUAUCUGCAUAAGAACACUUUGUGGAAACUAGUAUUAAUUUUACUCUUAUUCUACAGAAAAGGAACCUGACAUUUCGACAGAUUAGGUAUUUUGCCCCCAGUUACACAGGUAGUAAUUGCUAAAUGUCAGUUUUUAAUCUAGGCAGAAUGACUCUAUUUAUUUAGCUACUACACCAGAGUACUUUUAUGUUUAAAUGUUCCCUUAUAUCUAUUGUUACCAUAAAGAGUUAUUUUAUUUAUUUAUUUUUUUAGUGCCGCAUCCGCAGCAUAUAAAGGUUCCCAGGCUAGGGGUCAAAUUAGAGCUGUAGCUGCUGGCCUACACCACAGCCAUAGCAAUGCCAGAUCUGAGCUGUGCACGUGACCUACACCACAGCUCAGGGCAAUGCCACAUCCUUAACCCACUGAGCGAGGCCAGGGAUCAAACCUGCAACUUCAUGGUUCCUAGUCGGAUUUGUUUCUGCUGUGCCACGAUGGGAACGCUAUAAAGAGUUAUUUUUAACCCUCUUUUCCUGGUAAAAACUGAUUCAUCUAGGGAUGAGGAACUGAGCCAGAGGUCAGUGGUCUGAAAGGAAGUUUGGGAGUCUCUGCUAAUGAUUUCCUGUCUCCUUGCUUCCCUAUGCAACCUUUACAUCAAGGUAAACUGAGUGUUUCAUUCUUCCUUGCACUAUACAUGAGUUUAUUUUUAGGAUCAGAACAGAAUCAACAUGAUUCACUCUAAUAGCAUCCACAGCCACCCCCUCACUGCCUCCCUAACAAGCCCAAAUGAGCAUUCCACAGUAACUGUGGUUUUGAUUAUUUAAUUUGUGCUUAGUCCCACUGACCCACAUAGUACUCCAGCAGUAUCCACAUCAUAUGGUUCAUUAUGUAAUUGAAUUUAGUGUUCAUGAUAUUUGGAGCCAGGAAAACAACAUUCCAUGUGGUGAGCCAAAUGAAGCUUUUCUUCUAGUAUGAAGCGGGGAAGUUGAAAAGUCUGAAGACAGGGACUUUUAAAUUUUGAUUAAGAGAGAUGAUUUACUUCUUGAGGACAUGGUCUUGGGCCAGGAAUUAUUGUUGAGAAACAUUUGAAAGGAUGAAGACACUGGAUGAAGAAUUUAACGGCGUUCCCAAUAUGUCCCCAAAUACCACUGUGUAGAAUGUUUUUGGCUGUAGGAGAGAAAAAAAAGUAUAAUCCCUAAGCUCCAGGGAAGUGCAUUAGCCAUGUACAAUGUCACAAAUGCUGGCACUUUAGUUAUGUGCUCUUUACACCGAGGCACGUCAGGGCCGUUAGAGAGAGACUCCUUAGUGGUAACAGGAGGGGAAAUGAUAGGGCACAUUUUUAGUUUGGAUUGGUGGGUCUCUAAGGGAACUAAGCGAGUAGUUUACAUAAAUGCUAAAUAAUAAGACCUUUUCUGUAAAUAGAACAUCAGAGUAAUGGUAUUUAGUCUGUUCAAGCAGUCAUGCUAGGGACUAUGUUGAAAUUACAUUAAAGCAAGAUACGUUCCCUCCACUUUGCUAAGAGUCGUGAAUCUAAAGUAGGAAUCCCUCCCAUGAGUGGAGGCAAGUUAAUAUACUGCAGUAGGUUGGAUAUAAUUGGGGUUCUUUUGAAGAGCAUGAUGAACAAAGUGUACAACUGGAAAACAUUUUGAAUUCUCAAAAGGGGAGUGAGCAACUUUUAAGUUCUAAAUCAGAUUGACAAUUGAAUUGCUACUGUGUGAUUUUCAUAAAAGCAAAAUCAGCAUUGAUGGUAAGUAAAGUGACUGAACAUCAUCUGCAAUGUUACAGACAGAGUCAUAAUGAGGCAUAGUGUGAACACAUUGGGAAGCCACUUUUUAUAAGAGUAGUAAAUUGCAUUUGGUGGACAGAGAAAAACAUAAAAUAAAUCCUCUUGUUAAACUCCUUUAAACUAAUAAACAGGAUGUGUGGUGCAUAGUACUGUGAAAGCAGGCAAGUGUCCAGUGAAAACAGAAUAGAGGAAAUACUGCCCACAUGAAAUGAAAUACAAGGACUUGGCUUGUUGAGGGUAAUGUGUUAUUCAUAUUUGAGCCUAAACCUGUAAUUGCCAAUAUUAGACAUUUUCUAUCAUUAUACCAGUGACAUUUGAAACAAGCUAAAUGACAUGCUUACAAAACUUGGACAGAAUUGAAAACAAACCACAACAAUACACCUGAGAGAUCAUUUCUUAAUAUGGAAGAAACUUUUGUGAUAAUCUGAACACAAACAGAUACAGUAACAUACCAGGCACAAGAUUUUUCAUACUUUAACCACUUGUUCUUAUUUAAAAGCAUUUUUAUUAAGAAGACUUACUGUUAAAAAGCAUCCUCAUUUCCAAUGAUUAAAUGGGCAGCUGGGAAAAUCUCUAAAUAUAGUUUAAAAAAACCUUUUAUCUAAAUACUUAGAUAUUGAAUAAAGGUCAUAAGUUAAUAUUUAUUUUAAAAUUAUUUAUAUAAUAGUUUCAACUUUCAUUUCAUACUUUUAGACCAAAAUUUAGAUAAAUCUUUUCAGCAUUUUUGGUUUUCUAAUUUAAGAAAUAAUGUAUACUUCAUUUUGUACUCAUAAUAUUUUCAGUGUUAAGAGAAUACUUGAUGAGAAACAUUCUCAGGGGAGCUGCAGUUCUAGUUUGCAAAAUAUCACAAUAGGCAGCAAGAGUGCAUGACAAUCUAACAAAGAGUUUUGUCCAUUCAUUUGAUUGUGGACAAACUUUUGGAUUAGAAAAGCUUUUUACAAUAAAACUGACUAGACUAAUUUAAGGGAAAUACUGGGUAAUAAUAUUUCUCUUGGUCAAACAUCUGUUGUUUUUUAAAAAAUCAGCAUUGGAGGGCUCAUUAUGGCUCAGCGGUAACAAAUCUGACUAGCAUCCAUGAAGAUGCGGGUUCUAUCCCUGGCCUCGCUUAGAGGGUUAAGGAUCUGGUGUUGCUGUGAGCUGUGGGUCACAGAGGCAGCUUGGAUCCAGUGUUGCUGCGGCUGUGGUGUAGACCAGCAGCUGCAGCUCCGAUUCGCCCCCUAGCCUAGGAACUUCCAUAUGCUGCAGGUGCAUCCCUAAUAAGCAAAUAAAUUAAAUAAAAUAAUCAGCAUUUUCAUUUAUCAUCAUUGCUCUGUUCCUAUAUUUCUGAUGAUAGUGGAAAUAUGAUCAAGAAUAUGAAGUGGAAGGAAAAAAUGUCAGACUCAGCUGAGCUUAGACUCUGGUCCCUCCAGUAUUCGCUAGAUAGUUAAGUUUCUUAACUCUGAGCCUUGUUUCUUCGUGUGUAAAAUGGAUAUGAUGCUCCUGAACUUUCACAUUUGUGGUGGUGUGUUGUGUUAGUUGAUAGACUGGCCUAUGAAGGAAGGCUAUGAGAUAUGGCAACCCUGACAUCUAGUUAUGGCAAAGGACAAAUGUGUCUGUCAUUAUUUGUGAAUGUUUUUGCAUCUCUCUGGACCUCUUCUACUUCAAUAUGAACUUCUUCUCAACUUAUCUAGCUUUCCUACUAUCCUUAUGCCUUGACUCUGCCCUCCGAUACAGGCAGUGGUUGAGGCUACAAAAGAUGUCAAGGAGCCAGAACCAGGUCUGCAGACCAGCCACAUUCCCAUUCUCAAUGCUGUUCUAAGCAUUAUCCCCAUAUAUUCUGCGAUCAAAAGAAACAUUAUUGUCCUUCCAGACUGGUACUUAUAUAAAAAACGUUUGGAAUGGGAGGUCCUCAGGAAGGUAUCAUCAAUAAUUUUCAA
rnacentral:lncRNA from 1 species